ensembl:lncRNA
AGAGAGCGAGAGCGAGAUUGAGGAAGAGGAGGGAGAGAGUUUUGGCGUCGGCCGCCCUUGGGUGCUGGGCCCCAACAGUGGGCCGCCGCCCGCCUGAGCAGUGUCGGGUCCGGCCCCGCUUGGCCAGGCCUGCACCCGGCCUGCUGGUCUCCGGGUCUCCCCACCCCGGCACCCUCCGAAUGUGGAUGCCCCAAAGCAGUGAGCGCCCCUGUGGGCAAGGGUCAGCACGGAUGCGAGAGUCCCUGGUUGCUGUGGGUGCAUGCUUAAGGAGCAGGUGGGGGAAAGGAGUGAUGAGAGAGUCACCCUCCCCUUGGCGACAUUAGCUCAGCUGCCCAGAAAGCCUGGGUAAGGGGGGGCCCCGACUGGGGGUGCUGAGCUUGCUAAGUGGGGGUGCUGAGCUGGCUAAGGGGGCACAUUACUUAGAGACCGUGGGCUUGAGGGCUAUGGUGGGGCAUGCUUGAGUCAGGGGACUUGGAGACACGUAGCAGGGGCUUCAGGACUGCAGUCUCUAGGGACAGGACAGGCCCCAGGGGCUGGGGGCUGGAAGUUCCCCGUGAAGAGGGCUCCAGGCCUCCCUUGCUGCAGGCCCGGGAGAGGUGGGCUCCGUAGAGCAGAGAAGCUGUUCCCAUGGAGCUGGGCUGCGGCUGAGGCUGCCUGGUCACACCCAGCCAAGGCCAAGCCUGGGCCGUUAGCUGGCGACCCAGGCAGCUGCCAAGCACUGCUGGCUGCAGGCAGGCAGGGCCACUGAGCACAGCUCUGGGACCCACCAUCCAUCGUCUGUCUGUCACGUGCAGCCACAGCUGAACUGCCCUCCUAGACCAUCUGGAGGCCACCAAGGACUGGGGAAGGACAUUCAAUGUGCCAGAGAGGAGUUAGGGGGAGGGGGGUGGGGCAGCAGGGACCAGCUGGGGCCCACUCCUGCCCUGGUCUCUCCACCAAACACGGGGUCAGACCUGGGUGCCCCCGGGUGUUCCCAAUGGUUCCCUGCUCUGGGAACUGCCAGUCCAGCAGGGAGAGCCUGCACCCAGGCGGGGGCCACCAGUGGGCAGUGAGUGGCCGAAGGAAGCCCAGCGGGGCAGCGUGGAGGUGCACCUUCUCCGAGGCCGUGACAAGCUGAAUUUUCCCACAAAGGAAACAGGGCAGAGGGGUCCAGGUGGGGGCCCUGGCCUGCCCUCGGGCGUCUGUCUCCAGGUCUGCCUAGGGCUUUGCUACGCAUAGUAGGUGCUCCUUGAGUGUGUGUUGAAACCAGCGAAAGAUUAGUCCAUAUAUGGGUGUGGAAUCUGGCCAGGGAAGAGGCAGCUUGGUCCAGCCCCCUGUGGGAGGCCAGUGGCAGGGCACUUGGAAGGUUGCAGAGGCUACAAACAGGUAGGAAGGGUGACCGUCCCCCAGCGCACAGCAGAGCCUGCAGGCUCAGGGCCACCAGCUAGCAUUCCCAGGGAACAACUCCCCCAACCCCGCCCCAGGCCUGGGCGAAUGUUCCCAGCCCAUCCACUCCCUCCCUCCCAGGGGCCAGACUGCGCUCCCUGUCCCAGGCCUUGUGUCUCUCAGUCGUGGGCGAGGGGCCAGCCACCUCAGGACCUGCCAGCCCUGUGAUUCGGGGGUUGGGGCGGGAGCCCGGUGGGGGUGCUGGUCACACUGGGACCACUGCAGGGCCCCCGGGCAGGGCAAGGAUGGAGAGCCAGGCUGGUCCCCAGGCAGGACCUGUGCUGCCACCUGGCCUCUUCUCAACCAGGGCCAGCCAAGGGGCACGCUCGCCCCCACUGACCUGGGGGCCUGGUACCCUCCUGGCCCUCUGUCUGCCGCAGCCCAGUGGUCUCCUGUGCCGGCCAGGAGCCCCCCACCCCACCGCGCCUGCAGCAUCCCCCUCCUCCUGCGGGGCCCUCCCCAGGGCCCUGAUCUGAGGGCUG